AGGACGAACGCUGGCGGCGUGCUUAACACAUGCAAGUCGAACGGUAAGGCCCUUCGGGGUACACGAGUGGCGAACGGGUGAGUAACACUGGGUGAUCUGCCCUGCACUUCGGGAUAAGCCUGGGAAACUGGGUCUAAUACCGGAUAGGACCAUGGACUUCACGGUUUGUGGUGGAAAGCUUUUGCGGUGUGGGAUGGGGCCCGCGGCCUAUCAGCUUGUUGGUGGGGUAAUGGCCUACCAAGGCGACGACGGUAGCCGGCCUGAGAGGGUGUCCGGCCACACUGGGACUGAGAUACGGCCCAGACUCCUACGGGAGGCAGCAGUGGGAAUAUUGCACAAUGGGCGCAAGCCUGAUGCAGCGACGCCGCGUGAGGGAUGACGGCCUUCGGGUUGUAAACCUCUUUCAAUAGGGACGAAGCGCAAGUGACGGUACCUAUAGAAGAAGCACCGGCCAACUACGUG
rnacentral:rRNA from 1 species